rnacentral:tRNA from 1 species
GCCUCUGUAGUAUAAUAAUUACACUGGUCUUGUAAACCAGAAAUGGAGAAUUAAAUCUCCCCGAGACA